UGCAAAGAGACUCUUUCCAUGUAACGGGGUUGGGCACAGUGUUCGAGAGGAGACGCGUGGCUGAGCUCAGGGUUAAGAGAAGGCUUCCCGAAGAAGAACCCACUGCAGAUGAACCAGGAAAUGCAGCAGGAAUCGAUCGGUGUGGUCAGUCUUUUAAACUGUGUGGGGGAUUUAACAGCUCCUAGAAACGACUUUCACACGAACCCACAAAACAGAAAAGCACCAGUGGACACGCUUACAAAUAGUGCUGAUGUGGUUCGCGCAAUAAGAUGAGGGAGGAGAGAAAGAGUGGGCCUCGUCAGCUCUUUCCUCUCUUGGAGAGAAGAGACCAUAGGAGUCUGUGAACCUGGAAUCAGAGAUGGUACUGCAUCUCGAUCUGUUUUGGAGGGGAGAACAUCAGAGAACAAACACUGUUGACCAUAUGCGAGGUGUCUCUUGAAAACUUGGACAGUUGUGUGCACUGUACCAUUGGCAGUUCAGGAGCUGGUCGACUUCUACUUGUUUUAAGUUUGUCCAAACUCCCAUGGUUCUUUGAGUCGUAAUGCUUUAUUCCUGGAAAUGUAAAUCAGCUCCAGUGUUUUAUUUGGAGUUGGUUAAUUGACACACACACUUUCUCUCUCUUGUUCUCUCUCUCUCUAGUGGUCAUUUAAGGGAAAACUUGUUUCGAGCCAGAAGGUGAAAAAUCACAUGCACUCAUGAAACUCAUGACAAGAGAUAAUAUUGAUGUUAGUGGUCAGCAAAUGUGAAUUUUAAAGCAGAUUGAAAGAAUGAGAGAAAUUACUUCUGGUUUCAGACAUUCCAUUUCUUCCUUAACAAGGCCAUCAACUUUUAAAUCAGUGAGGUGUGGUCUGUUGUUAUCACUCAACAGAGCAAAUGCCAACAACUCACCAUCGUUUUUGUAAAUACUGCAACCUUCAGGGAGGUGCUGUGCUCCGUAUCUAUGACACAUUCACAUGAGAAUCACUCUUGUUCAGUGUCAUUGUGAAGAUCUACAUAAAGCCACUUGUUAGGCAAACAAGGCUUGUCUAUUGCCAGGCGUUGUUAUACGCUGUGGAUAAAAAUGAAUCCACACAAUGCUUGUCUUCACAGAGUCCAAGCUUUGCAGAAAACCAUGUUUCUCUAGGGGUUCUUGUGUAUUUCCCACAGUAUGACCAUUGCCUGAUCUCUACAGAUCAUUCCAGUAUCCCCAAUUUCCUUCAGGGGACUUUGGUUUUCCAUGUGCAAUGUAUCUGUUGAUAAAAGAGCAACCCAGUUAUUCACUGAUCCUGAAUUUUAGAUCAUUCAAGUGGUAGUUAUUAAUGUUUGUCUUCAGGGUGGCAUUUUUAUCUAAUGGUCCACUUCAGAAUUUGAUAGAAUUAAAAGAAUAAGAAAAUCUAGACUAUGGGGGCGCCUG